rnacentral:rRNA from 1 species
AGAGUUUGAUCCUGGCUCAGGAUAAACGCUGGCGGCGCACAUAAGACAUGCAAGUCGAACGGAAGUCGUUGUAAUGAUAUAGACAUGGACAGAGAACUUGUUCGAAGAAAGUGAAAGUUGACUUACAACAAUGGCUUUAGUGGCGGACUGGUGAGUAACACGUAAGCAACCUGCCUAUCAGAGGGGAACAACAGUUAGAAAUGACUGCUAAUACCGCAUAUGCCUAAGUAUCACAUGAUACAAUAGGGAAAGGAGUAAUCCGCUGAUAGAUGGGCUUGCGUCUGAUUAGAUAGUUGGUGGGGUAACGGCCUACCAAGUCGACGAUCAGUAGCCGGACUGAGAGGUUGAACGGCCACAUUGGGACUGAGAUACGGCCCAGACUCCUACGGGAGGCAGCAGUCGGGAAUAUUGCGCAAUGGAGGAAACUCUGACGCAGUGACGCCGCGUGCAGGAAGAAGGUUUUCGGAUUGUAAACUGCUUUAGACAGGGAAGAACAAAGACAGUCACCUGUAGAAUAAGCUCCGGCUAACUACGUGCCAGCAGCCGCGGUAAUACGUAGGGAGCAAGCGUUAUCCGGAUUUAUUGGGUGUAAAGGGUGCGUAGACGGGAAGGCAAGUUAGUUGUGAAAUCCCUCGGCUUAACUGAGGAACUGCAACUAAAACUAUCUUUCUUGAGUGCUGGAGAGGAAAGUGGAAUUCCUAGUGUAGCGGUGAAAUGCGUAGAUAUUAGGAGGAACACCAGUGGCGAAGGCGACUUUCUGGACAGUAACUGACGUUGAGGCACGAAAGUGUGGGGAGCAAACAGGAUUAGAUACCCUGGUAGUCCACACCGUAAACGAUGGAUACUAGGUGUAGGGUGUGAUAAACGCUCUGUGCCGUCGCAAACGCAGUAAGUAUCCCACCUGGGGA